rnacentral:rRNA from 1 species
CAAUAGCGUAUAUUUAAGUUGUUGCAGUUAAAAAGCUCGUAGUCGGAUUUUGGCUGAGAACGAUCGGUCCGCCGUUAGGUGUGCACUGAUUGGUCUCAGCUUCCUGGUGAGGAGGUGUGCUUCACGGCCACUUAGUCACCGUGGUUACUUUGAAAAAAUUAGAGUGUUCAAAGCGGGCUUACGCUUGAAUAUAUUAGCAUGGAAUAACACCAUAGGACUCCUGUCCUAUUUCGUUGGUCUCGGGACGGGAGUAAUGAUUAAGAGGAACAGUUGGGGGCAUUCGUAUUUCAUUGUCAGAGGUGAAAUUCUUGGAUUUAUGAAAGACGAACUUCUGCGAGAGCAUUUGCCAAGGAUGUUUUCAUUGA